rnacentral:lncRNA from 13 species
AUGGCUGGAUACACCUGUGUAUUUCAACAUGGUAUACAGUAUACUGGCUGGAUACACCUGUGUAUUUCAACAUGGUAUACAGUAUACUGGCUGGAUACACCUGUGUAUUUCAACAUGGUAUACAGUAUACUGGCUGGAUACACCUGUGUAUUUCAACAUGGUAUACAGUAUACUGGCUGGAUACACCUGUGUAUUUCAACAUGGUAUACAGUAUACUGGCUGGAUACACCUGUGUAUUUCAACAUGGUAUACAGUAUACUGGCUGGAUACACCUGUGUAUUUCAACAUGGUAUACAGUACACUGGCUGGCUACACCUGUGUAUUUCAACAGGGUAUACAGUACCCUGGCUGGAUACACCUGUGUGCCUCUACAGUUACACAUGUUUAGAAUAUCACAACAACAACAACAACCUCUUUGUUUGUCUCAGAGUCGGUAAGUGCCGGUAACAGAGCACCAUAGUGAUUGAUCUUAGUGUUUCCCCUUCCGAAACGAUAGUUUCCACUAUAUAUAAAUAUAUCACAAUAUAUCUUCUUCCAUCUGUCCCUUAUUGUAAUGGUUGUUGGUUGCAGUGAGCAAACGGUGUGGCACUGACUUGGUUUCAAAAACAAAACAGUUAUUAUGACGCAGAGAUAACUGGGUUGGGCAUUUAGGCUCCUCCCUCUUCCCUCAGGAACCCAAUCGGGUAACGUUACCGAGGUGUUUACCGAGGCAACGGAACCCUAACAACCCCGGGUCUUUUAGGCAAAGGCAGACUUGAGUCUCCAGCUUGGCGCUCAACACACAGUACAUAAGUGCUUCAACAACAAAAGCAUCAGGUGAUUUUUUUGAAUCUUUCGUCAUCUUUGACGACAGUUGCUUUUCUCCCCGUCGGAUUCCUUCCUUCCUUCCUUCCCGCCCUUCGGUUUCACUUUCCCUCUGUGGUUUCACUUAGAGGCCUCCAGCUUUUCGGCGGCCAGGAGUUCGAGCAGGGGGUUGGCCUCGCUCUCGGGGGUCUUGACGCUGUCGGUGCGGACGAUGCAGGUGGGGCGGUGGAGGUUGAGCAUCACCAUUAGCUGCUGUCUCUCCAUCCUCAGCUCUUCGAUUUGGGCCUUUAGGUCGGAGUUCACCACCUCCAGACGCUCCGACUCCUACAGGGAGGACAGAGAGGGGAGGGGGGUAUACUGUUAGGUCAUUGAUUUAGCCUUUAUUUAACCAGGUAACACAUCGAGAACACUUUCUCUUUUAUAAUGACCCGAGGUCCCACUUUAAACAAACUAUAAGCAGGACUGGGGUGUAAUGGGGUUACAUGUAACAGAUAUAUUUUUUAAAUGAACUGUAAUCUGUUACUUUACCAGCAUUAGAAACAUACUUUUGAAAAACGAGAUGAUUACUUCUACGAUUAAUUUUAAAUUCAGGAAAAAAAAGGAUGUUUGCGAGAGAAAAAAACCUUUUGACAAUUUUCUGUUUUCUCAAAUCAGUGUUGAAAAAAAAAAGGACCAAGUUUUUAUUAUUUUUUUUUACCUUGAUUUAACUACUCUGUCAUUUAUCUAUUACUGUUGAUAUCUAGAAUUUAGGGGGAUCACACGGCUACUCUGUCAUUUUAUCGUUUUGCGCCUCACGGGUUGUGGAUGGCUGUUCACAAAAGUAUAUGUAUAUUUUAACCCAGUAAUGGUUGAAUUGAAGAAGUUUAAGCUGCCUAUCACUCAUUGGUUUUGCGACCAGUGGACAGCCAGUGAAAAAGGGGCUCUUGCAACAGCUGCAUAAUGUGGAUCCCAGCCUAUAGAAUAACAGCUGCAUUAUGUGGAUCCCAGCCUAUAGAAUAACAGCUGCAUAGUGUGGAUCCCAGCCUA